rnacentral:rRNA from 1 species
AACGAACGCUGGCGGCAUGCCUAACACAUGCAAGUCGAACGAUGCCUUCGGGCAUAGUGGCGCACGGGUGCGUAACGCGUGGGAAUCUGCCUUUCGGUUCGGAAUAACUCAGGGAAACUUGAGCUAAUACCGGAUAACGUCGCAAGACCAAAGAUUUAUCACCGAAAGAUGAGCCCGCGUAGGAUUAGCUAGUUGGUGAGGUAAAGGCUCACCAAGGCGACGAUCCUUAGCUGGUCUGAGAGGAUGAUCAGCCACACUGGGACGGAGACACGGCCCAGACUCCUACGGGAAGCAGCAGUGGGGAAUAUUGGACAAUGGGCGAAGGCCUGAUCCAGCAAUGCCGCGUGAGUGAUGAAGGCCUUAGGGUUGUAAAGCUCUUUUACCCGGGAAGAUAAUGACGGUACCGGGAGAAUAAGCCCCGGCUAACUCCGUG